AUGAAAAGGCAAGAUGGGAUUAGAAUUGCAUGGAGCAAAGGAGGAUCAUCAUCAAUCUUCUUCAAGUUAUUCAGGUGGAUUUCUUUUAACUUGAUCCUAGCUAAGUUAAGAUUAGGAAAUUGCAUGUUCGUGAGUUUAGGUAUUUUGAUGAAUGCAUGUAUUUUGAUGAAUGCAAUGAAUUGUGAAUGA